GAGGAUGACAUAUGCUUAGGUGUCUCUCAAGAAAAGGCGUCUACAUUGUCAACCAAUGCUACCUCUUCCAGUACGGUUUCACAGCACAAAAAUGGUGUGCCUUCGCACUGUAAUUAAUUCACCUGCAAGUAAGAGGCACAAUGGAAGGACAAUCUUUCAAUGUUCACAAACAUUGAGGCUGCCCGAGUGAUAUCAUUGAUAUUUAAAUCGUCGAUGGAGAUUCCAUUAUUUCAAUGAAGUCAGGACAAAUUCAACUAGGACAAUGUGUAAGACACUUUUGUGAGGAGGGUGUGGAAAAAUCACAUGGCAACUAGGUUGUGUGAUUUUUGGUAUGAAGUACAAAAAAAGGCAAAAGAAACCCAUAAGAGAUAAGGGUCUCCAAGGCUGGAAUGACGUGGUGAAUUGUAGAGAUUUCAAACUAAUACACAUCCUGAUAGAUAUAUGACCGCACUAUCUUGAGUACGUGAUGUCUGAGCAGUUCACACGACGUUUAUAGUCUGGCGCUAGCAACUAGAAUCGACCAACAUGGCUCGGUGACAACGCACAUCAGCGACUCU